rnacentral:rRNA from 1 species
GUGAGGAAUAUUGGGCAAUGCCCGCAAGGGUGACCCAGCAACGCCGCGUGGAGGAUGAAUGUCGUAAGAUUGUAAACUCCUGUUAGAGGGGAAGAAUAGUACCGGUUGGACCGGUAUAUGACUGUACCCUCAGAGAAAGCCCCGGCUAACUACGUGCCAGCAGCCGCGGUAAUACGUAGGGGGCAAGCGUUGUCCGGAUUUACUGGGUGUAAAGGGCGCGCAGGCGGGAUAAAAAGUCAGUGGUGAAAUCCUACAGCUUAACUGUAGAACUGCCUUUGAUACUUUUAUUCUUGAGUUCGGGAGAGAGAGACGGAACUCCAGGUGUAGUGGUGAAAUACGUAGAUAUCUGGAAGAACACCAGUUGCGAAGGCGGUCUCUUGGUCCGACACUGACGCUGGGGCGCGAAAGCGUGGGGAGCAAACA